UCAUUCAUUGUAUUUUCUGGCAACUUGUCAUUGAUUUAAAUUUGAUCGUAAUCUGUUGGAUUUCAGUUCAUUUAUUUCUACAAAUAAACUGGGUUUUGUUAUUUCACUCAAAUUUAAAGAUCUUAAUUAACAUACUUUCCCUCAAAUUUUCCCUCGCUUUUUCAUAACACGUCUGCUUAGGAAACUCAUUCUUCUGAUAUUAUUGUAAGAUUAUUAUUAAUGCUUCAUUUGUUUUUCAAUUUCUUACCUCUUUUCAUUUAUCUUUAAUUAAUGUCUCCACCAUGUAAUUUUGUGCUAAAAACCUUCUUUUUUGUGCUAUCGAAAUUUCUACAUCUUCAUGUGAAAAGCAUGGUUUGACUGGCGUGUCUAAACGUUGAGUUUGCAUGUGGUGGUACUUUGGCUUUGAUGUAACUUUGCUUAAGAUUACAUCAGAAUUUUAAUGGUUCAUGGGUCUACAGAGUUGUAUUCGCCUUUGGUUAAUUUACUCUCCUGUUGAUAGCUUGAUGGUAAAGUCAUGGUUAAAGCUUAAUUAUGGAUCGACUGUUCUAUGGUAAUCAGAAAUCGCAAGUCAUCCAAAAUGUUGGUCAACAUGUUUCCCCUACACUCUUCGACUGGAUGUAUCUAACAUUUUAAUGCUCGAUUUUGUUAAUUGUUGGUUAUUUAUUUGCUGGUUUAUGGACAACAGCACAAAUAGGCAUGUCCAGUUGACCCUUUCAAGGAUGAAAGUUGUCGUUUUGGGGUUAAAAUGAAUGAUUAAAUGACCCUCUGUUUAUGGUUUCUUACAAGAAAGUGUUUUUAGUCAAGAAAGCAAAAAGAAAAGACUGUUGAGAUGAACUGUUUUGGUACUUUUUGACGUCAAGGAAACCCCAAAGAAUAGUGAAAAGUAACUGGAAAGGGAACCCUUUAAACCAUCUUAACUUGAUCAGCUGCUAAAAUUGACCUGACCUCAAACGAUCAAUGACCUUUUACAUCUCUCGAUUGCUGUUCUCUUCCUUCACUUUCUUUCAACAUUUUCUUGGCUCGUGCCUAUUCAUUGGCAACACUCACUUUCUCACUUUCUUCAUCAUCUUCCUUUUCAUCUUCUCACUUAUACCACCAUACCAUUAGCUGACUACAAGAUAAACCUGAAUAGAUGCAAUUACCCAUUGAUAAUGACCAAUUUAAUAAUGGAGUGGACAUUCAGAUUGGAAUGAAAAAUUAUGGAAAUCAAAUUUAACUUCAUGGUUAUAAAUGGGCUUUCAAGUUUUUAAGAUAAAUGGAAUUGAAUAUUGAAACAAAAAUGGAUAAAAAUGGUAGACAUGGAAAGCAAAGGAGAGCAGAGCUGAAUUUAAGAACAUAAUAAUAAUAUUAAUAACAACUUUAAUAAUACUUGUCCAGAUAAUUUAUAUCAAUAUUAUUAUAAACUGAAAGGUUCAUUUUUAUGUCUUAUAAAGCCAACAACUACACCAUUAUUAACCAAGUUCAUGUUCCCUGGCUACAAAAAAACGGAUGAAAUGGAUUCCCAAUGGACAAAAGGAAAAGAGUUAAAGGAUGGUGAAAAUUCAUUCUUUUCCAUUUUUAUCUUCAUCAUCUUCAUCAUCACUAUUAAUUAAACCACAUAAAAGCAACAUUAUACUUUAUAUUAUGUAUUAUUUUAAAGUUACUUUUUUUGCUGGCCAUUUUCUUCCUCUUCGCCAACCUCUUCUCCUUCAUCUCAUUUUUUGGCGAUUUAUGGUUUCAUCCAUUUUUGCUGUUGCUCCUGCUCUUGUUUCAUGUAAAAAUGUUAAUUGCCAUUAUUGAUAAUCACAUCUCGACGGAAGUUUCAAACCUGUUUGUUUGCCUAAUAAGAUGUUUGUAAUGAUUGACAAAGGAGAGGAAGGGUGACCAGUUGAAAGGAUGAUCAAGAUAAACAAAUAAACAACAACAAAAGGAGACGAAUAAUGAAACAGGAAACAGGAAGAUAAAGAAUCCUCUUUUAGCAUCUUCCUUUUUUCAGCUCUUUAUUGUCGCAUGAUACUCAUUGUGUAAAAAACUGUACCAACUUCAUGACUUUGGACAACAAUUCAACUUGACUUGAUCAACUUUCUUUUGGAUCCAUUGUUAAUCAAAGUGCAUUCCCAAUUGGAAGCUGUAAACAGAUUCAUAAGUCAAAAUUUAAACAAAAUUCAAAACCAAAAUUGGAUCAAAAGCUGAAUUAGGAAUUGGAUCCGAAUCUGAUUCAAAAUGAAUCCGAACUGAAUCCAUGACUGAAUUCAACUAUUCAAGUCAUUCGCAAAUGAAAUUAAGCUGAUUAUUUAAACUCAUGGAUCGUUGAGAUAUUUUUUAACUAUCCUGAAUUCACCAGUUAUCCUUAAACAUGGAAUUGUGUCGUCUCAUCAAAACUCAAGUCAAUCAUCCUGGCAAUGACUGUUGGAUCAAUGUUAUCAAAUUAUUGGUUAAAUUAUCUCAUUACUGAAUUACUCCUGUCUAAACCUUGGGUAAAGAAAGACAUUUAAGAUGGCAUUAAAAGAUCAAGAUAUUGUAUGAAAAGCUGGACAAUCGAGACAAGAUGGACAGAAUAUCAACAAUUGGCGCAGAUUAACCAACCUUUGUAAUCUCUUAUUAAUCAACUUGUUUUUCUUGGUCUAUUAUCCUCAGUGUUUUAGCUCAAUUGAUCAACUCACCACUGGAAACCAAACAAUUUUGAUUAGGUUAUCCGCAACAAGUUGACAGGAAAAAAAGCGAACAGAAAAGGAUGAGAAAAAAAUAAGGUUUAAUGGAUCAUUUGUAAGGGUAAUAGGAUGAAAAAAAUUGGAUCUUCAUCCUCUCAGGGGAAAUGUUUCAGGGUGAGAAAAGAUUCAAGUGAUGAGAGGAUGAUAAUGUGUAAAAAAAGAUGCUUACUCUCUAUAAACAUUUCCCUUGUUCAACUAUAGAUGAAAAAAAAGAAGGCAAAAAAUGGUUUUCUUGGGAAGAGCAAGAAGAUAAAAAGAUCGGGGUGAGAAGAUGAGGAUGAAGAUGCUGAUGAUGAUGCAGUUUAUAGAGUAAACUUGAAUGUAAGGAAAUAAGCUUAAGGAGCAAAAAAAGAUUCAGGGUGAGGCGGAAGGUUAGAGAAUCUGAAUGAGUGAGAAGUUCCUAUGGAAACUAAAUGUUUCCCUUUCUUUUUAUUAACUUAAUUUAUCAACUUGUUGAAAGUUAAUGAAAAUGAUUUGUUCAUUUUGCUCAUCAUUUAUCCAUUCAAUUAUUCAUCACUUAUUUCAUUGACAAACAAUCAAAUAACCAACAUAAAUGAAACAAAUUGAUCCUCAGCAAAAUUGUUUGGUCCAGUAAAUGGUCAUUUAGAUUGAAACGCUUUCCCUUCCAAUUGCCUAGAAAAACAAGUUUGAUUGAUAAAAUAUUAUCUAACCAAAGUGACCAAAUCCUGAAAAAGCUGAGUCGAAAAAAUUGAAUCUUUCCUGAGUUUGAUGAAAUUAGAAUUGAAUGGUUAAUGAAAAUGUUGGCUAAUUUUCACUUCUAAUGUAAAUAACUUUCACAGAAAGAAAUCAGUUUUUUUCAAUUUCAACCCAACAUUCGUAAUUAAAUCAUAAUUGGUGAAAUGGGUUAAGAUUGAAAAUUAAUUGGUAAACAGGGAAAUGAAAAAAAAGGUUAACAUGUAAUAACAAUUUACUGUUCCUUGAGACUGGAAAUACAUAAUGAAAGGAAAAAAUCUUCAGAAUCAUCAACAUGUUCCUCUUCAAGUAAAGAAACCUCGGAGUCGAAAAAAAAGAGAAAAAAUCAACAUUAAUUAAUCUAAUUAACAAUCCUUUGAGUUUAGUUGUUCAACACAUAAAAAAAAGAUUCAUCUUAUCUCUAUCUUGUUCAUUGUUGAUGAGGAUGUCGUCUUCAUCUUCAUCCGUUUAUACAAUUUCCUAGUGACUGAACGGGAAAUGAGUCCAUGUUGGGUGAAAGCAAAAAAGGAGAAGAAAGAGCAAAAUAGAAAUUCGUAAAAAAGCAAUUUCUCGUCUUUAUUGGAAAGACAAACUCAUAAACUGAAUAUUUCAAGGAAAUUAUUAGAUGUUGGUAACAAUAUUAGACGAGAGUAAAAAAGGAAAGGAAAAAGAUGAUAAUGAUGAGGAUGAAGGCAAAAAACAUGAGAACAUGAAUUUGUAUGUUGAAUCCGGCAAAUGAAUGUUAAUACCUAAAACCUAACGGAUGUUAAUUUGAUGUGCAAAAAACACAAAACUGGCAAUGAUUAAGAUAUUAUUU